GGCAGGAUGGCCGAGUGGUCUAAGGCGCUGCGUUCAGGUCGCAGUCUCCCCUGAAGGCGCGGAAUCGAAUCCCCCUCCUGUCA
rfam:Ciona savignyi cont_63592, whole genome shotgun sequence.